rnacentral:rRNA from 1 species
CCGCCCGUCACACCAUGGGAGUUGGUUUCACCCGAUGGCAGUGCGCUAACCGCAAGGAGGCAGCUGACCACGGUGGGAUCAGCGACUGGGGUG